rnacentral:lncRNA from 1 species
CACAGAUUACUUCAUAUAAAAAAAUCCUACUUAUAUUUAUAUAUACGUAUAUGUACUUGAAACAGAUGAGGAGAAUCCUCGUGUAGCAUUUAGGUGCUCAUUUCUCAGUAGAAAAAGCCCUCUUCAUCAGUGGUGGGGGUGCUUUUCCAACAUCAAACAUCAUCUCCAGCGGAGGAUUACUCAGACAGCACCAGUCAGGUAUGCGCCCCGUCUGGCUGUAAUACUCUCUGGACACAGACCGGCUCCCAAGUAUGUCCUGAAGUGCUCCAAAAAUGGCUCCUCCCAGCCACGCCACAUAGUUGGGUUUGGCAGGUGGAGUGUGAAUUUGAAGGUUUUAGUCGCAAGGACUUCUUUGUAUUUCGGUUUCUCCACCAGGUACCUGAUUUCAGCCAUGAGUCUGUGGAGGAAUCCUGGCAACAUGGCAGUGCCACCCAUAACCACCAAGUUCUCUGCCAACUGCUU